rnacentral:lncRNA from 1 species
ACAACUUUCCCGAACACCAAAUCCAACAUUAAAGUCCGACUCAAUGCCUUGUCAACCCUCCCAAUAAUUAAUCAAUAUUAAAUUUUCAUUUAAAUAAUUAACGCUUUCUUUAAUUUAAUUUUAAUAAAUUACUAUUAACCAAUAUAUUUAAAUGAAAAUAAUUUUAAAAAAAAAUGUAAAUUUUUAUGUUCCAAAUCAAAACUCAAAAUACCCGCAAAUUGAUUCAC